rnacentral:lncRNA from 1 species
GGGCUCCCGAGUGUGGGGAGGGCGGCUCAGCAGGAGCUGCUGCUUCCCAGAAAGUUGAUUAUUUUUAACCCAGGAAGAAGAAAGGAAGGAGGCGAGGGAGAAGGACUCAGAGAAAAGAGGAGAGGAAAAGAGAGGAGAGGAGAGGAGAGAAACGGAGUCUCACUCUGUCACCAGGCUGGAGUACAGUGGUGUGAUCUCGGCUCACUGCAACCUCCGCCUCCCAGGUUCAAGCGAUUCUCCUGCCUCAGCCUCCCAAGUAGCUGAGAUUACAGACGUGUGUCACCAUGCCCUGUUAAUUUUUGUUUGUUUGUUUUGUUUUUUGUUUUGUUUUGUUUUGUUUUUUGUUUUUUUUUUGAGACGGAGUCUUGCUCUGUCGCCCAGGCUGGAGUGCAGUGGCCCCGAUCUCGGCUCACCGCAAGCUCCGCCUCGCGGGUUCAUGCCAUUCUCCGGCCUCAGCCUCCCGAGUAGCUGGGACUACAGGCAUCCGCCACCACACCCAGCUAAUUUUUUGUAUUUUUUUUAGUAGAGACGGGGUUUCACUGUGUUAGCCAGGAUGGUCUCGAUCUCCUGACCUCGUGAUCCACCCAAGGCCUCGGCCUCCCAAAGUGCU